GUGGGGAAUAUUGGACAAUGGGCGCAAGCCUGAUCCAGCCAUACCGCGUGGGUGAAGAAGGCCUUCGGGUUGUAAAGCCCUUUUGUUGGGAAAGAAAUCCUAUCGGUUAAUAACCGGUGGGGAUGACGGUACCCAAAGAAUAAGCACCGGCUAACUUCGUGCCAGCAGCCGCGGUAAUACGAAGGGUGCAAGCGUUACUCGGAAUUACUGGGCGUAAGGGGUGCGUAGGUGGUGGUUUAAGUCUGCUGUGAAAGCCCUGGGCUCAACCUGGGAAUUGCAGUGGAUACUGGAUCACUAGAGUGUGGUAGAGGGAUGCGGAAUUUCUGGUGUAGCAGUGAAAUGCGUAGAGAUCAGAAGGAACAUCCGUGGCGAAGGCGGCAUCCUGGGCCAACACUGACACUGAGGCACGAAAGCGUGGGGAGCAAACAGGAUUAGAUACCCGAGUAGUCC
rnacentral:rRNA from 1 species